rnacentral:rRNA from 1 species
CGCUAUGACUCCUACGGGGAGGCAGCAGUAGGGAAUCUUCACAAUGGACGAAAGUCUGAUGGAGCAACGCCGCGUGAGUGAAGAAGGGUUUCGGCUCGUAAAAACUCUGUUGUUUAAAGAAGAACAUAUCUGAGAGUAACUGUUCAGGUAUUGACGGUAUUUAACCAGAAAGCCACGGCUAACUACGUGCCAGCAGCCGCGGUAAUACGUAGGUGGCAAGCGUUGUCCGGAUUUAUUGGGCGUAAAGCGAGCGCAGGCGGUUUUAAGUCUGAUGUGAAAGCCUUCGGCUCAACCGAAGAAGUGCAUCGGAAACUGGGAAACUUGAGUGCAGAAGAGGACAGUGGAACUCCAUGUGUAGCGGUGAAAUGCGUAGAUAUAUGGAAGAACACCAGUGGCGAAGGCGGCUGUCUGGUCUGUAACUGACGCUGAGGCUCGAAAGUAUGGGUAGCAAACAGGAUUAGAUACCCUGGUAG